GCCUGGGUAUCUCAGUCGGUAGAGCAUCAGACUUUUAUCUGAGGGUCCGGGGUUCAAGUCCGGUUCAGGCG
rnacentral:tRNA from 1 species